rnacentral:rRNA from 1 species
UACGUAGGGUGCGAGCGUUAAUCGGAAUUACUGGGCGUAAAGCGUGCGCAGGCGGUUGCUGAAGUCCGGUGUGAAAGCCCCGGGCUUAACCUGGGAAUGGCAGUGGAAACUAGGCGACUUGAAUCUGGCAGAGGGGGGUGGAAUGCCACGUGUAGCAGUGAAAUGCGUAGAGAUGUGGCGGAACACCGAUGGCGAAGGCAGCCCCCUGGGUCAAGAUUGACGCUCAGGCACGAAAGCGUGGGGAGCAAACAGG